AGUGAACGCUGGCGGUAGGCCUAACACAUGCAAGUCGAACGGCAGCACAGUAAGAGCUUGCUCUUACGGGUGGCGAGUGGCGGACGGGUGAGGAAUACAUCGGAAUCUACUUUUUCGUGGGGGAUAACGUAGGGAAACUUACGCUAAUACCGCAUACGACCUACGGGUGAAAGCAAGGGAUCUUCGGACCUUGCGCGAUUGAAUGAGCCGAUGUCGGAUUAGCUAGGUGGCGGGGUAAAGGCCCACCAAGGCGACGAUCCGUAGCUGGUCUGAGAGGAUGAUCAGCCACACUGGAACUGAGACACGGUCCAGACUCCUACGAGAGGCAGCAGUGGGGAAUAUUGGACAAUGGGCGCAAGCCUGAUCCAGCCACACCGCGUGGGUGAAGAAGGCCUUCGGGUUGUAAAGCCCUUUUGUUGGGAAAGAAAAGCAGCAGGUUAAUACCCCGCUGUUCUGACGGUACCCAAAGAAUAAGCACCGGCUAACUUCGUG
rnacentral:rRNA from 1 species